rnacentral:rRNA from 1 species
AGAGUUUGAUCCUGGCUCAGGACGAACGCUGGCGGCGUGCCUAAUACAUGCAAGUCGAGCGAACCAAUAAGAAGCUUGCUUUUUGUUGGUUAGCGGCGGACGGGUGAGUAACACGUGGGUAACCUGCCUGUAAGACCGGGAUAACUCCGGGAAACCGGUGCUAAUACCGGAUAGAUUAUCUUUCCGCCUGGAGAGAUAAGGAAAGAUGGCUAUUGCCAUCACUUACAGAUGGGCCCGCGGCGCAUUAGCUAGUUGGUGAGGUAACGGCUCACCAAGGCGACGAUGCGUAGCCGACCUGAGAGGGUGAUCGGCCACACUGGGACUGAGACACGGCCCAGACUCCUACGGGAGGCAGCAGUAGGGAAUCUUCCGCAAUGGACGAAAGUCUGACGGGGCAACGCCGCGUGAGCGAAGAAGGUCUUCGGAUCGUAAAGCUCUGUUGUUAGGGAAGAACAAGUAUCGGAGGAAAUGCCGGUACCUUGACGGUACCUGACGAGAAAGCCACGGCUAACUACGUGCCAGCAGCCGCGGUAAUACGUAGGUGGCAAGCGUUGUCCGGAAUUAUUGGGCGUAAAGCGCGCGCAGGCGGUCCUUUAAGUCUGAUGUGAAAUCUUGCGGCUCAACCGCAAGCGGUCAUUGGAAACUGGGGGACUUGAGUGCAGAAGAGGAAAGCGGAAUUCCACGUGUAGCGGUGAAAUGCGUAGAGAUGUGGAGGAACACCAGU